rnacentral:rRNA from 1 species
UACGUAGGUGGCAAGCGUUGUCCGGAUUUACUGGGCGUAAAGAGCGCGCAGGCGGCUGAUUAAGUCGAAUGUGAAAGCCCCCGGCUCAACUGGGGAGGGUCAUUCGAUACUGAUCAACUUGAAGGCAGGAGAGGGUAGGUGGAAUUCCCGGUGUAGUGGUGAAAUGACGUAGAUAUCGGGAGGAACACCAGUGGCGAAGGCGACUACCUGGCCUCGUUCGUUGACGCUGAGGCGCG